AAUAACUUAGCAAGGAAAAAUUGGUUAAUWUCCAGCUGGAUCAGUAUCCUGAGCCUGUUUUUCGCAUAGCCCUAUAAUCAUCUGUGCUGGUAAAACUGAAGUAUAGUGCAGGGACAAGCAACUGUGAGAGGACUCUGCUUGAGAAAGGACUUCCACCAAAAAUCUCCAUCGAACCGCAGCCGAGUCCUCGGCUCCGCCUAGCCUGAACCUCUGCAUAAUGCAAGACAGUUACAACUGUAAUUGCCUUAUGUUAGGAUCUCUUCCUUACAGAUACGAGACUUAGAAGAAAACAACAAAACUAACUCAUUUUAGGAUGUCUGCUUGCCACAGUAGCUAGUAAGAAGUCAAUGG
rnacentral:lncRNA from 1 species